UUGGAUUUUAGUUCUUUUAUUGACUUGUGGUAAAUCAAUCAAAUAUCAGCAUGGUUCUUAUCUGAAGAUGCACCUUUCAACUGCAAAGGCUUCAGCAUGGUUCUUUUAUUGACUUGUGGUGUUCACCUUCAGAACCCAACAGCCCUUAUUGCAGCCGAAUACCUUGAUCUGGUCAAUUACACACGAAGAGUGUUGUGGGAGUCUACACUAAUGGCAUCACAAGAGGGCUCAAUCUAUUGUAUAGCAAAUAAAAUGUUUGGUGAAGUACUAACAGAAUUGGUCGGAUAUAAGCCAACAUCCAAGAUUUAUUUGAUUUUUUUAGAUUUGUCUAUGUUAUAUAUUUUAAAUUAUGUUAGAUUAUGUUAGAGAUUUUGUAUUAUCAACAAUUUACUAAUUGUAUGUAUAUAUAAGUUAUUAAUUCUAUUAAA